UCCAUCAAUUCUCAAGUUGCAGCUAUACAUGAAGGGAGAUCACAACGAUGACGAGGAAGAUGAAGAUGUUGGAAUUCAAUUCCAACGACAUGAAUCCUGUAGAAGGGUUUAUCCAAAUUGAAUCAACGAGUCACCAAAUUGUUAUGGAGCCCCCGUGCUUGUGUGGGCUCUUUUUUGCACAGCACUUUCUGUCAAAGACCAUGAUCCAUAAUGUGCAUGGCUUUGUAUCCAUAGUCACAUAGACAUGACUGACACGGACUUAUAGCUGGAUCGUGACAAGUGUUGAGAGAAUGUCAGUCUUUUAGGGUAAUUUUUGGUGAUGUCAUUGCUGAAAAAUGCAACUGGAAAAUAAUAUCUUGUAUCUCUAUUUUUGUGGUCUCACAGCCUUUACGUACCUAAAAAGGGAUUCUAUAUGCAACUAGUGAUUACAUGCUGACUUUUAUUAAUACGUUCCUAUCUGUAAAAACUCUUGGUUUCGAAAGA